AUUGAACGCUGGCGGCAUGCUUUACACAUGCAAGUCGAACGGUAACAGGCCUUCGGGCGCUGACGAGUGGCGAACGGGUGAGUAAUACGUCGGAACGUGCCUAGUAGUGGGGGAUAACUACUCGAAAGAGUGGCUAAUACCGCAUGAGAUCUACGGAUGAAAGCAGGGGAUCGCAAGACCUUGUGCUACUAUAGCGGCCGAUGGCAGAUUAGAUAGUUGGUGGGAUAAAAGCUUACCAAGCCGACGAUCUGUAGCUGGUCUGAGAGGACGAUCAGCCACACUGGGACUGAGACACGGCCCAGACUCCUACGGGAGGCAGCAGUGGGGAAUUUUGGACAAUGGGCGCAAGCCUGAUCCAGCAAUGCCGCGUGCAGGAUGAAGGCCUUCGGGUUGUAAACUGCUUUUGUACGGAACGAAAAGCCCUGGGUUAAUACCCUGGGGUCAUGACGGUACCGUAAGAAUAAGCACCGGCUAACUACGUGCCAGCAGCCGCAGUAACAC
rnacentral:rRNA from 1 species